rnacentral:tRNA from 1 species
GGGCCGGUAGAUCAGGUGGAAGAUCGCUCGCUUGGCGUGUGAGAGGCCUCGGGUUCAAAUCCCGACCGGUCCA